rnacentral:rRNA from 1 species
GACGAACGCUGGCGGCGUGCUUAAUACAUGCAAGUCACAGGGUUUUGAUUCCUUCGGGAGUCACGACACUGGCGCACGGGUGAGUAACACGUAAGUCAUCUGCCCUUUGGUCUGGCAUAACAUCUCGAAAGGGGUGCUAAUUCCAGAUGAUACCGCAAGGUCAAAGCCGUAAGGCGCCGAAGGAUGAGCUUGCGUCUGAUUAGCUUGUUGGCGGGGUAACAGCCCACCAAGGCUACGAUCAGUAGCCGGUCUGAGAGGAUGAUCGGCCACAUUGGGACUGAGACACGG